rnacentral:rRNA from 1 species
UACGGCUAAUACCGCAUGAUGCCUGAGGGCCAAAGACGAAAGUCGUUUGAGGAGGAGCCUGCGUCUGAUUAGGUAGUUGUGGGGUAAAGGCCUCCCAAGCCUACGAUCAGUAGCUGGUCUGAGAGGAUGAUCAGCCACAUUGGGACUGAGACACGGCCCAAAUCCUACGGGAGGCAGCAGUGGGGAAUAUUGGACAAUGGGCGCAAGCCUGAUCCAGCAAUGCCGCGUGGGUGAAGAAGGUCUUCGGAUUGUAAAGCCCUUUUGGCGGGGACGAUGAUGACGGUACCCGCAGAAUAAGCUCCGGCUAACUUCGUG